UUCCUGGAGGAAUAGUGGUUAGGCCUCGGCGCUCUCACCACUGUGGCCUGGGUUCGAGUCACGGCCAGGGAA
rnacentral:tRNA from 1 species